rnacentral:tRNA from 1 species
CGUAAAACUUAAACCUUUAC